rnacentral:rRNA from 1 species
GUGAGGAAUAUUGGUCAAUGGACGCGAGUCUGAACCAGCCAAGUAGCGUGAAGGAUGACUGCCCUAUGGGUUGUAAACUUCUUUUAUAAGGGAAUAAAGUGAGGGACGUGUCCCUUUUUGUAUGUACCUUAUGAAUAAGGAUCGGCUAACUCCGUGCCAGCAGCCGCGGUAAUACGGAGGAUCCAAGCGUUAUCCGGAUUUAUUGGGUUUAAAGGGAGCGUAGGUUGACAUAUAAGUCAGCUGUGAAAGUUUACGGCUCAACCGUGAAAUUGCAGUUGAUACUGUAUGUCUUGAGUGUACAAGAGGUGGGCGGAAUUCGUGGUGUAGCGGUGAAAUGCUUAGAUAUCACGAAGAACUCCAAUUGCGAAGGCAGCUCACUGGGGUACAACUGACACUGAGGCUCGAAAGUGUGGGUAUCAAACAGGAUUAGAUACCCUGGUAGUCC